GAUGAACGCUGGCGGCGUGCCUAAUACAUGCAAGUCGAACGAGGUGCUCUUGUAGCAAUACGAGAGUAUCCUAGUGGCGAACGGGUGAGUAACGCGUUGGUGACCUACCCCAAAGUGUGGAAUAACAGUCCGAAAGGAUUGCUAAUACCGCAUGUGGUUAUCGGGUUUAGAAACUGAUAACUAAAGGAGCAAUUCGCUUUGGGAGGGACCUGCGUCCCAUCAGCUAGUUGGUGAGGUAAUGGCUCACCAAGGCUACGACGGGUAGGGGACCUGAGAGGGUGACCCCCCACAAUGGAACUGAAACACGGUCCAUACACCUACGGGUGGCAGCAGUAGGGAAUAUUGCACAAUGGGCGAAAGCCUGAUGCAGCAACGCCGCGUGCACGAUGAAGGCCUUCGGGUCGUAAAGUGCUUUUCUGGGAGAUGAGAAAGGACAGUAUCCCAGGAAUAAGUCUCGGCUAACUACGUG
rnacentral:rRNA from 1 species